UUCUAACCAGCAAUCAAGGUUGUGACACCAGGGGGCAAAGAUCGUGGGGGCAAGUGAACAAUUCUGCCUUAUGAUGGUCACCACCACUCCCCCUGAACCACUGUCUCGGGGCCCUGGUUCCCCUCCUGAUUGCCGAGUCCAGCAGCCUCUUCUGUUCUCACCCUCAGCAGCACGAAGCAGUGCUCUCCACCCUCCUGACACUUCUUAGGGUUUUCUGAUGCUGCGCUCUCCCGGUUUCCCUACCAGAGCGCCAGAGUAGGAUCAAAGAAAACAGAUGAAAAUUGCAGUCGAACGGAACCAGGUCUCAAUCCAAGCUCUGUCUCUUACCGGGACGACCCCACAAGUAGCUUGUGUCUGCUGCUUGAAAGAUGUGGACAGCAACUGGAACACGCAAAGGCACUCUUCCUCCCCCUUCUCUCCUUUCCCGUUUUGGUUUCCCUUCAGUAGCUCCCGUUAGCAGAACGUAAGCAGAAGCCAGGAAUUUCUAGCAAGGCAGCUGAGAAAUACAGAUUGUGGGCUCCAGCCGCCGCAGAUCGGAGCAGUGUGAAACGUGGUCUCCAGGCUGAGCGUCAGCAGGGACACACUCACGGGGCUCCAGUACAUCCUGCCACACCUGGCUAAUGCCAUCCUUCUGGGACUGCGGAUUGUGAGCGGAACAACAAAUCCAGCCGGAGACUGGAUUCCUCCCAGCUGCCUGGGCUCGCUGCCCUCUGGUCAGGACCAGGCUCACCUCCUCCCUGUCUUGCUCUGCACUUUAUCAAAGGUAACGUGGGGAACGGAUAACCUCUGAGUUCCCACUGCUGGCGCAGGAGGAGAUAAGGUAGAUCUUUUGACAAGAAAGAAGUGGAAGCAGAAAGAGAAGUAAAAGAUUGUAAACAAGAUUUAAAAAGUAAACAGCGAUCCAAGAAAGAAACACAGACUGAACGGUCGUUGCUUUCCCUUUGACGUUUAUGCUUCCCCAGAUGUGUGCUAGAUCACCGUGACAAGGCCUCUCGGGCCCCUUGAGGAGUGACGGACAGGUCUCUGGGAUCGGGUUUGGCCACCCCUUCCCCUCCCCCAGCCACCCGCCAUCACCCCAGAUUCCUGACAUUUCAUGGACGUUUCUGGCGAUGAGAGGGGAGGGACUGCCCCAGUCGCCACACUGUCCUGAACACACCGCUCUGAAAUGCUCUCUCUGCGUGGUGCUUUUUCCUGCUGUCUGUUCCCCAGAUUCCUUGUCGACUCAGUGGAGAGGCCAGGCGAGCAGAGCACACACAGCCAGAACGAAAGCCCGAGCGCCGUCUUCAGCUCCUGACCGUCCCUCUCCGCUUCUCUGCAGCGCUGGGCUUGGUUUUCUUCCCAUUUCCGUCUCGGAGUCUGUGCGGGGGUGCACGUGCUUCUGAGCUUCUGUCUGUCUCUAUUAAUACAUGGCUUAAUCAUGCAGAAUGGUUCACUUUACUUUUUUUUUUUUUUCAAUAUUAGGCACUCA